UACGGGAGGCAGCAGUGGGGAAUAUUGCACAAUGGGCGAAAGCCUGAUGCAGCUAUGCCGCGUGUAUGAAGAAGGCCUUAGGGUUGUAAAGUACUUUCAUCGGGGAGGAAAAACAAAACUAAUAAUUUUAUUUCUUGACGUUACCCGAAAAAGAAGCACCGGCUAACUCCGUGCCAGCAGCCGCGGUAAUACGGAGGGUGCUAGCGUUAAUCAGAAUUACUGGGCGUAAAGAGCACGUAGGUGGUUUUUUUAAAGUUCAGAUGUGAAAUCCCUGGGCUUAACCUAGGAACUGCAUUUUGAAACUGAAAUACUAGAGUAUCGUAGAGGGAGGUAGAAUUCUAGGUGUAGCGGUGAAAUGCGUAGAUAUCUGGAGGAAUACCUGUGGCGAAAGCGGCCUCCUAAACGAAAUACUGACACUGAGGUGCGAAAGCGUGGGGAGGCAAACAGGGAUUAGAUACC
rnacentral:rRNA from 1 species